rnacentral:rRNA from 1 species
AUUGAACGCUGGCGGCAUGCCUUACACAUGCAAGUCGAACGGCAGCACGGACUUCGGUCUGGUGGCGAGUGGCGAACGGGUGAGUAAAGUAUCGGAACGUGCCUGGUAGUGGGGGAUAACGAGUCGAAAGAUUCGCUAAUACCGCAUACGACCUGAGGGUGAAAGCAGGGGAUCUUCGGACCUUGUGCUAUCAGAGCGGCCGAUAUCUGAUUAGCUAGUUGGUGGGGUAAAGGCCCACCAAGGCGACGAUCAGUAGCUGGUUUGAGAGAACGAUCAGCCACACUGGAACUGAGACACGGUCCAGACUCCUACGGGAGGCAGCAGUAGGGAAUAUUGGACAAUGGGGGCAACCCUGAUCCAGCCAUGCCGCGUGAGUGAAGAAGGCCCUCGGGUUGUAAAGCUCUUUUGUCCGGAAAGAAAAGCAUCUGGUUAAUACCCGGGUGUUCUGACGGUACCGGAAGAAUAAGCACCGGCUAACUUCGUGCCAGCAGCCGCGGU